UCCUGUCUAGGAAGGGUAAUUCCUCUCUGGUUUAUGGUUUUCAUUUUGUGUAUUUCAAUAUACUCCCUAUGACAUUCACGUACAAGGAGAUUUGUCUUUUAGUUUUGAUAGCUCAGAGAAAAAAAAUCAUGAUAGCUUUUGACUUGUAUGUGGGAAUCUGUAAUUGGAAGUUCCCUCCCCACUGCCUAGGGUUUUUUGUUACCUUUAUUUUCCUGCAAGGUAGGUCAAGUGACAGCAGUAGAUCUGCUGACACUCAUUCAAUGUCAAAAUAAAGCCAUGUUGCCAUUCCAGCCCUGUGAGUAGCUCUGACUAACGUUCUGCAAUGCACAUCUCACCAGAUUACUUGUCACUGCAGAUUUAACUUCAGCAUUAGCUCGUUGGAACCACAUGCCUUUUAAAUGACACUGCUUAUUUCAAGGUGUACUGAGAAGGUUCAAUGCAUAUUUAUGCAGCCUGGGAAAACACAGUGUCCCUGUGUCAGCAUCACCUUUAAGUUUGUCCAUAUUAAGCUGAAUAAUGAGCGAAAGCUCCCUGACUGCUAAUUCACCUCUUCCAGUGUCACACUUACUGUAGCUGCUCAGGUGUUCCCUUUUCUUAGUCCAUAGUCUGGAGGCAAUUUCUCUAGCUUGCUACUUGCAUCCAAUCCAUGACCAAAUAAUCCCACCAUCUCUUCCUCUAAAGCCCAUCUCUGAAAACUAAUCUUUCAUGCAGCAGAAGCUCUUUUUCUAGCCCUUCCAGUGCUGUCUUUUCAGUGGGAGCCCUGCUCUAAACUUCUCACACAUUUACCCAUAUAAUGUACUGUACCAUUUUUACUAUAAAACAUUGUUUUUCUUCUCUUUAGGACACCUUUAAUGUCUCCAGCCCCAAUGAACACUGAAACUUGGCUCUGUCUCUCUCCAUUUACCAACUCCUUAUGAUGCCAUUUCAACUCUUGCAGUAACAACCACAUUGUGAACUUCUGUACACUUUCUUUUCUGCAGCCAUACUGGCAUCCUGCACAGAGAAUAUCUUUCUAGAAGGCAGCAAGGUCUCACAAAGUACCUUUGCUUUCAGCCUACUUAUUCCUUGAAAACUCAUCUUUGACAUUAUAGUGGAUAACUAGUAAGGUAAGAAAGGAAAUGGAGAUGGGCAGUGCAGACUGCUCUGACCAGUGCUGAAGAAGCUGAUAAAGGCCACCCUCAUCGUGAUGACCCAUCUAAACCAGAAAUACAUAGCUGCCUUGCCAGUGAAAAUCAGUGUUACAUCAGUGGUUAAGCAAAUGGGAGGACAACAGUGAGUAACUUCUUUCAGUCAGCCUGGUAUUAAGCCUCAGAAAUUAAAGGCUCUGCAGUUUCACUGCUAAUUCUUCCACUCCCCACUUUGCUGAGAGAUUUGCAAUGAGAUGUUCUUGUUUGUUUUUCCCCUCAGUUUCUUGUUUAUCAAUUGUCUAAAACACUUUUUUUUUUUUUUUUGUAGGAAAAGUUAAUUUUUCCUUAGACAGGCUUUCAGACUUUCAUUCAUUCUGUAGUGAACAUGCUCAGGUCCAGAUCCUCUGUAGGAUUUAUCUAGGUACCACUAGCAGUGGUUGGCAAAUGCAGUAAAAAGGAAAAGCAAUCAAUUAAGCAUUUUUUAUUUGAACCUUACUUAUUAGCCAUAGAACUAUGAAUUCCAUGAGAAAACUUUAAUUAGUUUGAAUUAUUUGUUUACUUCUGUUUCCUCUGUAUUCUGCUCAAAUUAAUGUCUUUACUAUUUAGAAUAUAAUGUUCUCUAAUUGAUAGUAACUAAUACAAGAUAUACUCAAGUCUAACGUAAUUAAUUUUCAAUGAGGAAAUUUAAAUUUUUCCUCCUAGAUUUGUGUACAAUUAAAGUUUGUUGGGUUUGCUAGGUUUUUUU